UUCUCAGAUUCUUAUCACUGUUUCAUUAUUUCCCCCCUUGCCUCCUUUGGUACCCAACAGUUUACUUUACAAACAAUGGCCUCUACAAAGAUGCAGUGACAGAAAUCCGGAUCUGAAAGUAGCAGGCACGUGUUCAUCUAUUCAGCAUUAGAGUUAUUGCCUAAUUCUAGGCUUUGGGUACUGUAGUUGCUGAACCAGGCAACUUCUGAGAUUCUGUCUUUGAAAUCGUGAACCUCAGUCAGCUUGGCUGAAAUCUCAGGCUGCCAGCAUCCUGGAUCUCACCACGGGUGAUGACUGCUUUUUACAGCUCUGAUGAAAAUCAUGCCAGGCUGGUCAGACAUAGCUGUUUACAAAGAUCCAGACUUACUGCCUAGAAGAGCUCUUUCAGCUGGCACUGGAGUGAUGGGACAAGAGGCCGCCUCUAAAUCCUGACUUUAAUUUGGGUUACAGAACAAGGAUGAUCGAGUCUUCAUGACUUCUGGAGACUGGUACAAUCACACUUGUAACGUGAGAGCGAUCUAGAAACGCGGCGUCAGGGAGGCCGCUGAAUUCUCUCCCAUCCUAUAAAUAAUACUGCUCAUGUUGAGAAGUCAUUGCACACAUACAAUCUCCGCUGACAGAGACCCCCAAAGCAAGAUUUGUUUGGAGGGACACAGACGCCCGGAGCCUGUGAGGAGCAUCUGCAGGCCGAAGGAAACAGGCACUCGAGGAAAAUACCCUCUGGCUUGCACAAGCCGGCAGGGGCUACUACACUGAAACCCGGGCUCUCGGGCUGCAUCGCAAUGCAGUGCUGAGUUUAUUCACCAGGGGUCAUCAAAGGCAAGUACUUUAAGUCAUUGCUGACAGAAAUGGACUGCUCACGUUAUCCUUUUCUACCUCAAAUGAAAUGGAAAGAAACCCUACAACACAAAAUCUGUGAGGCAAUGCUGCCUUAAAAGGUGAGGAAGACCCAGAGUGAAAAGGAAGUCUACCAUCCAGCUGAUCCAUUUCGCUCCCAGCCACCUGCAGAAAGCCAGGAUGCCAUUUUACAGAUCACAGAGAUUAAGAUGCUGUGCCUGACAUUUCAAAUAGUUCAGCUGUCUACUUUUGCCACGUCCUUAUUUGUCAAGAACUUUGAGUAUUAUCAGGAACCUCCCCGCAAAAGUUUCACUCGUGUUUCACCUUCAAAAUGUUGUUACCUGACCAGAUCUCCAGUCAGUUACUGGCACAGAGUGAGCAACACGACUGGCUGAAACUGUCUCAAGCACAUCUGUUCUCUGGUCAGGCCAAAGCUGAAUACAGCUGAAUCCGGGAAGGUCUCAGGGAGAGAAAAUCGCAGAGCAAGGAGGUGGUGUGUGGAGACAUUCUGCAUCCUCACAGCCAAACGUGAUGGUUAACGCCGCAGAGAGUUCUUCUGCUCCACAAGAACAUCAACCUGGAGCCUAAAAGUCUGUCCUAAUAAAUCAGUCAUUCUAGACUAUUAGCCUUUGAAUGUUUCGGGUCAGUGUCAACAACCAAGCGCCACAGCAUUUUCACGUUUUGAUGAUUAUGGUCUAACCUUCAAAAGC